GACGAACGCUGGCGGCGUGCUUAACACAUGCAAGUCGAACGGAAAGGCCCUGCUUUUGUGGGGUGCUCGAGUGGCGAACGGGUGAGUAACACGUGUGUAACCUGCCCUUGACUUUGGGAUAACUCCAGGAAACUGGGGCUAAUACCGGAUAGGAGCUCCUGCAGCAUGGUGGGGGUUGGAAAGUUUCGGCGGUUGGGGAUGGACUCGCGGCUUAUCAGCUUGUUGGUGGGGUAGUGGCUUACCAAGGCUUUGACGGGUAGCCGGCCUGAGAGGGUGACCGGCCACAUUGGGACUGAGAUACGGCCCAGACGCCUACGGGAGGCAGCAGUGGGGAAUAUUGCACAAUGGGCGGAAGCCUGAUGCAGCAACGCCGCGUGCGGGAUGACGGCCUUCGGGUUGUAAACCGCUUUCGCCUGUGACGAAGCGUGAGUGACGGUAAUGGGUAAAGAAGCAACGGCUAACUACGUG
rnacentral:rRNA from 1 species